AGAGUUUGAUCCUGGCUCAGAACGAACGCUGGCGGCGUGCCUAACACAUGCAAGUCGAACGUGAUUAGAGAGCUUGCUCUCUAUGAAAGUGGCGCACGGGUGAGUAACGCGUAGAUAAUCUGCCUGAUGAUUCGGGAUAACACUUCGAAAGGGGUGCUAAUACCGGAUAAGCUCACGGGGUCUUCGGACCCUGCGGGAAAAGGGGGGGACCUUCGGGCCUUCUGUCAUCAGAUGAGUCUGCGUACCAUUAGCUAGUUGGUAGGGUAAAGGCCUACCAAGGCGACGAUGGUUAGCUGGUCUGAGAGGAUGAUCAGCCACACUGGAACUGAGACACGGUCCAGACUCCUACGGGAGGCAGCAGUGGGGAAUUUUGCGCAAUGGGGGAAACCCUGACGCAGCAACGCCGCGUGAGUGAUGAAGGCUCUUGGGUCGUAAAGCUCUGACAGAGGGAAAGAAGUGUAUUGCGGUUAAUACCCGUGAUACUUGACGGUACCCUCAAAGGAAGCACCGGCUAACUCCGUGCCAGCAGCCGCGGUAAUACGGGGGGUGCAAGCGUUGUUCGGAUUUAUUGGGCGUAAAGCGCGUGUAGGCGGUUUGUUAAGUCUGAUGUGAAAGCCCUGGGCUCAACCCGGGAAGUGCAUUGGAAACUGGCAGACUUGAAUA
rnacentral:rRNA from 1 species